rnacentral:rRNA from 1 species
UACGGAGGAUGCAAGCGUUACCCGGAUUUAUUGGGUUUAAAGGGUGCGCAGGUUGUUUGAUAAGUCAGUGGUGAAAGUCUGUCGCUUAACGGUAGGAUUGCCAUUGAUACUGUUGGACUUGAAUAUGGAUGAGGUAGGCGGAAUGUGUAGUGUAGCGGUGAAAUGCAUAGAUAUUACACAGAACACCGAUUGCGAAGGCAGCUUACUAAUCCAUCAUUGACGCUGAGGCACGAAGGCGUGGGGAUCAAACAGGA